rnacentral:rRNA from 1 species
AUUGAACGCUGGCGGCAGGCCUAACACAUGCAAGUCGAACGAGUUGCGGACUUGUGUGUCAUGUCUGGGAAUCUCCCUGUUGGAGGCGGAUAUCUACUGGAAAAGGUAGCUAAUACCGCAUUCCAUCGGAUGUGCCCCGGUGGGAUUAGCUAGCAGGCGGGGUAACGGCUCACCUGGGCGACGAUCCCUCGCUGGUCUGGGAGGAUGACCAGCCACACUGGAACUGAGACACGGUCCAGACUCCUACGGGAGGCAGCAGUGGGGAAUAUUGCACAAUGGGCGCAAGCCUGAUGCAGCCAUGCCGCGUGUAUGAAGAAGGCCUUCGGGUUGUAAAGUACUUUCAGCGAGGAGGCGGUACUCGCAGAAGAAGCAUCGGCUAACUCCGUGCCAGCAGCCGCGGUAAUUA